GGGAGUUUGGCCGAGUGGUUAAGGCGUUGUGUUUAGGCUACCCUACAAUAGUCAUCCGCAAUGUGCAUCGCACGCGCAGGUUCGAUCCCUGCAGCUCCCA